rnacentral:lncRNA from 1 species
GAACUCAGAGAUGAGAAACGAUCCGUUAUGGAAGGCUUUUCCCACCUCUGAGCUGUGUGGCCGUUUGGAAAUUCACCCUUAGGAUCAUUGUGAGAAGCACAAAUGGACGACCGAGGUACUGAAAGUGUGUACUGUGUUAGAAGAAAGGACAGAUAAGAUACGACUGUGGCGAUGACAGUUGGGGGAGCAGCCGGGAAACCACGUGGUAGAGAACUGCUGUCACCAUCUUUUAGGUAACUUCAGGCUUGCAAAGAAGACUUUUCGUUUCCACAUUUGCAAUGAAAGAAGAAAGCUAUACCGAUGGAAUCCUGGGAUGCCACCUAAGAUCAAAGAGCUCUGAGCAAUGAAACAGAGCUAGGGAACCUGAGGGUUGUCCCAAAGCCUAUUCUGCACUUGUGCCUCAUUGUUGGAUUCCAUCUGAGGGAAGAGAACAUCAGCCAAGGUCACACACUGAGAAGUGAGUCUUGGAGGUGGCUAAAAUUAGGUCAUUUCUAGACUCUAGUUAGCCUCUCUGUUUACCAAAUCUUUGCCUGUGCCAUCCCAAUGAACUAGUGUAGCAUCUUAAAUCACCUGUAUACCACUCCAGUGUUCCAUCCUUGUAUACAAGAGCUUUAUCCCUGUGUUUCUUGAAACCAUCCCAUGAGACCUGGGUAACAUUCUUUUAUGUGGUGUACCAUUCCAGGACUGUGGUGCCAACGCUGUGGUCUUCUGUUACCUUGGAGUACCAUCUCUAUGGGUCUGGAAACAAUUCAGGUGGACCUGUGAACCAGCCACUCCAGUAUAAUAUUCUAGCAUGGCUGGGGAACCAUCAGCAUACUUGGGUAUUAUUCUAGUAAUCUUGCCUGUCAUCCCAGUGUGACCAGAUAUCAUACUGAAGACCCUGGCUAGCACCCAUGUGGGCCCAUUACAGUCAACCUGCAUUCUGUCCCAAUGUAUCCCAACACUAUCCUUAUGUGGGUUCUGUGAACUCAGCAACCAUAAUUUCCUAGAUAUGUAUGACAGGUAGGUAGCUCAUUUUCAAGGUUGGAAGGGACAUCAGCUUUAAAAUUUGCUUCUACACUCAGAUGCCAGGCUGGGGUUUGUACCUAUAAUCCUAUACUACAUGCUACAUGUGUAGAGGGAUCCAUUGCUCUGACCGCUCUCUGCUGGCCUGCAGAUGGGAGGUCAUCUAGGAAGUCUUCCUUUUUUUUUUUACUUGGUUUCAGAUCCAAGGUGAAAGAUUAACAGACAUAGGGCUCUCAUCCCCAAACAUACCUUGACCACCUUGCUCCUUGUCUCUGAGACAACACCCCUCUUGGUCUCUGGUCUGAUUCUGUUCUAUAAAUUGGAGAAUCCACACAGGGCAGGAAGGCUGUUGAAACCCUGUUCCCCACAGAAAGGAUAGUACAGAUUCCCCAAUUAGUAACAUGUUGUCGGGUUCAAUUCUUUUCCAGCUAAAAUUGGGCAGGCAGAACUCCCCACUGAGGUAAAAGACAAUUUUUUUUAAAAAAGGAUUCUUUUACAAAACAUAUUUUUAAUUGGUUUGGAUUUUUAAAAUAAUAAUAAAAAACGAGCUAACUCC